UUCUUUAACCUCUUCUCCUUCCUUCAAUCAUGUACUCAAGUAUUGAAUUUUGCUUCUGAUUUUCUGAACAAGGUGAAGCGUGGAAAGAAGCCAACUUGAAGAUCAGCUUCACUUGUACUAUGCCAAUGUCUCAAAAGAUGAAAGAUUUGCCAACUUGAAUGGUAUUGCUGACCUUGCUAAAGAGAUGGUGAAAACGAGAACAUCUUUCCUACCAUUUGGUCUACCGAUUGUUAAAGCUAGCACUAGUCUUGCCCGUUGCAACAGCAACAGUUAGAGAUGCUUUUCUGCCAUGAAACUUGUGAAAUCAGAUUUGCGCAACCGAAUUGGUGACGAGUUUUUGAACUCUUGUGUAAUUUUUACUGCAGUAAAAGAAGCACUUGAUAGUGUUAAAAUUGAAGAUGUAAUGACCCGCUUCCACAAGUUAGGAAAGCGUAGAGGCAAAUUGUAGGAGCUUAACUUGGUUCUCAUGGUUUAAUGAAGAUUACAAUGGUUGUUUUGAUGUUA